CACCACUCCAUCUCCUCUUACCGACUCACCAGAUGGAAUGGUGGUGCUGCCUGCAGGGUCCCGCCUGACAUCUCAGAUCCUGACUCCGGUCCUUCCUGACAAGGCGAAUAUUUUUGUGCUGAAGGCAGACCGGAGGAACUGUGUCCGCACCCUGGAGGUCAACGGCCUCACUGUCAACAGAGUCAUAUCUGCUGUGUAUCGCACAGAAGACUGUGACACUGAGAUGACAAACAUCUGGAGGGUCACUGACUACAGCUCAGAGGGCAACGUCAUCAUGUCAGUGCUCUGCCGCUUCCGGAGGAUGUUUGCACAGCGUGCAAAAAGAAAGGCGACAGAGGAGAAAAGCAGCAGCAGGAGCCCCGCUCCACCAAGGAAGCGCUUCAGACUCUAAUCAAGAUCGAAGCCUUUCCUGGAGAACUUAUUUUCUCCAAACUUUUGUACAUAUGUAUAUAGUUCUUUGUUAUUGUUGAGAUACACAGGUCAGUGUUUUCAGUGCCUCUUGCACUUUUCUUUAUUUCUUGUUGCUGGCCUGUGUUUUUGAUAUUACUAUUAGGAUUACAAAAUGACUUUAUUAUAUAAUCUAUGCAAAUGAACUAAGGAUCCAUGAAGACAGUGGCAAGGAUAAAUUAUUCUCUGCUGCAUCUCACACAUCAGCAAGAACCAACACAGUGAAUCUGAUGAAAAGGAGAAACAAAAAGAGACACACCACAAACGAGUUUCCCUGACUAACAUGAGAGGAGCAGUAACUGCAUAAGGAGGAAGAAACAGGAGCAUCCAAAGACAGCCUGAGAGUUUUUGGGGGCACCGUGAACAGCAGUCACCUCAGAGCAAGAGAGUCCUGGUGGCUGUCUGGGUUCUCUCCAGUUGCUCUGGCUUCAUCCCACAGUCCAGAGAAAUGAUCUGAGCUGGUGAGUCCAGUCAGUGUGUGUCAGAUAAUCGUCAACAAACUUGAGGAACCGUCCUUUAAACAGCAGCCAUUUGGACUCUAUGAACAAUCUGCUCCUCUCCCUUUACCAUGACCUGGUUACGGGGUGCAAGGAUUUUCCUCCAAUUGCAGUCAGGGGACAGUUUCACUCAGAGGAGCUGACGACACCUUUUAGACCUGUGCUGCAGAUUUGGAGGGAAAACACCACUCCAUCUCCUCUUACUGACUCACCAGAUGGAAUGGUGGUGCUGCCUGCAGGGUCCCGCCUGACAUCUCAGAUCCUGACUCCGGUCCUUCCUGACAAGGCGAAUAUUUUUGUGCUGAAGGCAGACCGGAGGAACUGUGUCCGCACCCUGGAGGUCAACAGCCUCACCGACAACAGAGUCAUAUCUGCUGUGUAUCGCACAGAAGACUGUGACGCUGAGAUGACAAACAUCUGGAGGGUCACUGACUACAGCUCAGAGGGCAACGUCAUCAUGUCAGUGCUCUGCCGCUUCCCGAGGAAGUUUGCACAGCGUGCAAAAACAAAGGCGACAGAGGAGAAAAGCAGCAGCAGGAGCCCCGCUCCACCAAGGAAGCGCUUCAGACUCUAAUCAAGAUCGAAGCCUUUCCUGGAGAACUUAUUUUCUCCAAACUUUUGUACAUAUGUAUAUAGUUCUUUGUUAUUGUUGAGAAACACAGGUCAGUGUUUUCAGUGCCUCUUGCACUUUUCUUUAUUUCUUGUUGCUGGCCUGUGUUUUUGAUAUUACUAUUAGGAUUACAAAAUGACUUUAUUAUAUAAUCUAUGCAAAUGAACUAAGGAUCCAUGAAGACAGUGGCAAGGAUAAAUUAUUCUCUGCUGCAUCUCACACAUCAACAAGAACCAACACAGUGAAUCUGAUGAAAAGGAGAAACAAAAAGAGACACACCACAAACGAGUUUCCCUGACUAACAUGAGAGGAGCAGUAACUGCAUAAGGAGGAAGAAACAGGAGCAUCCAAAGACAGCCUGAGAGUUUUUGGGGCACCGUGAACAGCAGUCACCUCAGAGCAAGAGAGUCCUGGUGGCUGUCUGGGUUCUCUCCAGGAGCUCUGGCUUCAUCCCACAGUCCAGAGAAAUGAUCUGAGCUGGUGAGUCCAGUCAGUGUGUGUCAGAUAGUCGUCAACAAACUUGAGGAACCGUCCUUUAAACAGCAGCCAUUUGGACUCUAUGAACAAUCUGCUC